rnacentral:rRNA from 1 species
UACGUAGGGUGCGAGCGUUAAUCGGAAUUAUUGGGCGUAAAGAGCUCGUAGGCGGUCUGUCGCGUCGAUCGUGAAAACUUGGGGCUUAACCCUGAGCUUGCGGUCGAUACGGGCAUGACUGGAGUUCGGCAGGGGAGACUGGAAUUCCUGGUGUAGCGGUGAAAUGCGCAGAUAUCAGGAGGAACACCGGUGGCGAAGGCGGUUCUCUGGGCAUUACCUGACGCUGAGGAGCGAAAGUGUGGGGAGCGAACAGG